rnacentral:rRNA from 1 species
AAUAGAUACCCCGGUAGUCCACGCCGUAAACGAUGAGUGCUAGGUGCCGGAGGGGUCCACCCUGCGGUGCCGAAGUUAACACAUUAAGCACUCCGCCUGGGGAGUACGGUCGCAAGACUGAAACUCAAAGGAAUUGACGGGGACCCGCACAAGCAGUGGAGUAUGUGGUUUAAUUCGAAGCAACGCGAAGAACCUUACCAGGUCUUGACAUCCCUCUGACCGGUCUAGAGAUAGGCCUUUCCUUCGGGACAGAGGAGACAGGUGGUGCAUGGUUGUCGUCAGCUCGUGUCGUGAGAUGUUGGGUUAAGUCCCGCAACGAGCGCAACCCUUGAUUCUAGUUGCCAGCACCUCGGGUGGGCACUCUAGAGUGACUGCCGGUGACAAACCGGAGGAAGGCGGGGAUGACGUCAAAUCAUCAUGCCCCUUAUGACCUGGGCUACACACGUACUACAAUGGCCGGUACAACGGGCUGCGAAGGAGCGAUCUGGAGCCAAUCCUAUCAAAGCCGGUCUCAGUUCGGAUUGCAGGCUGCAACG